rnacentral:tRNA from 1 species
GUGGCUAUAGCUCAGUUGGUAGAGCCCCGGAUUGUGAUUCCGGUUGUCGUGGGUUCGAGCCCCAUUAGCC